rnacentral:lncRNA from 10 species
CUUCUAGCAAGAUUCCUGUAGCAGAUUGAGCUCUGGCAGUUGAUCUCAGUGGCUUGAUAGAGUGUCAUUAUAAAAACGCACCUGGAAGAUUCUGUGGAAAAGACAACCUCAGAAGACCAAGGUGAAUCCAAGGCCUGAUCUGGACUCUUAAUGGGUGGUUAAAUUCUAGUUCCUUUAAAUAAGCAUCAAAGACGCCACAAAACCACAGAUAAAGCUGCCAUAGACAGCUAUAUUUGGGACUCAUUUAUCAUUUGUCACAAGCAUUUCAUCCUCUUGCAAUAUUUUUUUCUACUUAGUACUUCUACAAGAAGAGGCUGACUUUGCAAGAGAGAGUCCGUUUACCACUUAGAACCGUGAACACCACCCCCGCCCUCAUUUAUCUCCAGACUUGAACUAGUGGUUAAAUCCCAACAUGUCCCAGAGAAGUCAAAAGCAUUGUAAAAUCUGGGAAUCUGCCCACCACUCAAGCCUGGGAAAGCUGGCAGAGGAUGCACGUGUUUUACUCACCUGAGUGUUUACAAUGCUCGUGAGGUGCCUCCCUGAUAUUUUUAUAGCAGAAUGGAGAAACACAACCAAGGAGAUACACCUAAGUAACAACAGCAAUGAUGUCAAAAAGAGUGCCUGAAUACUUAGGGUGGAGGUCCUGGACAUGCAAACCCAAGCUUCCUCUUUGCUGUGGCCAGGAAUCUGCAGUGAUUGAGAGCACAGACUGUAUCUAAAAUUCCACCUUUCAAAGUUCAGCAUAUUACUUUUUUUUUUCUUACACCUAUAAGUACAGAGGAAUGAAGAAGGAAUAAACAGACCUUCUGGAUAAUUGCAUCAGCCUUCCCCACUAUUCCAAUGCCAUGCUAACAUUUCAAGUAAUGUCCCUUUUGUCUUGCUGAGAAAAAAUCAUUUCAUGAUUUAUUACACUGGAUUAAAGGCUAUGCACACUCUGGAGUUGGAACAUGACUGAAGGGCAAGCAAGCAUAAAGGAUAUCAGAAACAGUUGAUGUGUUUAAAUUUUUCUGAAUUUCUCAAGUAAACUUUUUAGAAAGUAGUCUGAAGAUAAAAUGGUUAUAUAAGUUACUUAAACUGUAGAUGAUGGCACCUUUAUCCCUAUAUAAUAAAAUUAAGAUUUACAAUCCAAAGCAGAGUGGGAGGAAGAGACCUACAAGACCAUGUUUCAUUGGAUAGCUUUGGAGUAAUAUCUAUAAUUUUAGAAAAAAGUUAAGAGGAAGAAGAAACUGGUGUCAGCUACACUUAGAAGAUUUUACAACAGAGACUGGCUUCCAUUCACUGAUCAGACAUUCACUGAUUUUUAAUUCUUACCACCAGAGAAAAAGUUGUUAUGAUGAGGGUCCUCAGGAAAGACAAUACAGUCAGCCGAGAAAUACAAUUUUCUUUGUCUACUGUUGUUUCCUUUACACGGACCAUUGAAAUAUAUACUUAACCACCAGCAAAACUCCUAUUAAACACAAGUAAAAAAAAAUCACUACAUGCAAAAGAGUGAACACCAGGCAAAGUGAUAAUUUAUGAAUUUCCAGGAUUUUUGUUGUAAUUUACCCGUGUAAGUUUACAAUAAAUGAUUGAUGUAACUAAAUUUAUGGAUUGCAAUUAAUUACUAGGUUUGUACCACAGAUGAAGUAAUAUAUAUAUUGUCUAAUUUAAUAAUGAUUUGUCUACAGAAUUCAACCAACUGCUCAUUACAGAAUCUGAUGAACCUACCUUUAGACUACCUGUUAUCUUAACUACCUGUGAAGAUACUAUAUAUGAUGUAAUAGGUUUAACAAAUAAUGAAGGACCUUUUGUCCUUGCUUGACUCAAGAAGGGAUGGAGGGUCUCCAAGAAAUAUAAAUGUAGUCUGCUAUAAUGGGUAUUAGCUAGAUUAGUACUUCAGAAAAGGAAGAAUUAUUUUCAUUAUCAAAUGAUUAUUUGAUAUUUCCAUUCUGCAUUCUAAGCACAUAUUAGUUGAUGUACAGGUGCUGCUGGAUAACUGUUUGGAAACAGACCACAAAAUCGCUCCAAAAGGUAAAAUUCUCAAAUAACAGAGUUGUCAUGGUUGUAAAAAAAAGGUAUGAUAAAUACAUAAAAGCUGGCAAAAAUGGGGAAGGAUUAAAACUGUAACCUUAGUUAUCCUUCAGUAAACAUAGUUAAGUAGAAUGAAGCAGAUGUUUAUUCUGGUAGAUUCUAUUGCAAUGUUACAUUUUAACUUAAUAUUUCUAUUUUGUGAUUUAUUUUUAGUAUAGCAAAAUGUUUGGUUAAUAUUGUGGGUAUUGAUACUGUGUUAAAAUUUGUGACAGUCUAUUUAAUUUUUCAAUAUGAAGAAGUAUUACUGCUAUGAUGAAAUAUUUACUGUUGUGGUGGAAAUAAAUAAGAAAAUAGAAUUGACUAAAAGCAAAACAAACCAAUAAAAAAAGAAAAAAAGUCUGUUAUUUAUCAACAAAACAUUAGGAAAUUUACAUGCUUAAAGUAAACUUUGAUUCCCUAUUCCAAAGUGCCUUAUAUAUUCUACUCUCUUUGCUUUCACAUAAAUUUAUUCUAUGCUAUAAUGUAACUGGUAUACUAUUAAGUCCCAUACAUAUGUUACAUUGAACCAUACAUUUUUCUAUUCCAGGAAAGAGAAUUUUCUCAUUUUUUCCACCACUACCAUCCACCACAAUGACCACUAUUUUUCUCUUCACUUAAAAAGUAUCAUUUAUCUAAAGUUAAUGGCAUAGUUUCAGACUUCUCAUGUGUCCAAGCAUAUGAAUUAACAGUUCCUAUGUUAUUGUCCUAAGAUUUGUAGGUUAAACCUUGGAUAUUCCCAUCUGAGCAUCUGUACCAAACAGAAAAGACCUGUGUGAGUUCCUGAGAACCAGUGCUCAUUCCAGAAGAGACAGGUUUCUCUCCAGGAAGAAAUGUCUGAAAUUCAGUGAAUUAAAAUCCUCAUUGAGUCUUCCUACUCUUUACUUCUCCCUGGAAAAACUGGUUACGAAAAUUUAAUAUUCUGUCAUGAUAAGAUCAAGCUCUAUCAGAUCAGCCAUACAUAUCAAGUACAUUUUGACAAACUUGAUUCAUACUGUUUUCAAAUUAUGAACAACCAAGGCUCUUCUAUCCAAAAAUAUUGAUUAUUUAAUUCUGAAUAUCAUUACAGAGCAGUAAUAUGCUCUCAGCAUUUGGGGAUACAAGAGUCAGAAGAUGGACAAGCUUCCUUCCUAACAACAAUUACCACUUAAUUACAAUAUACCAAGUAGUAUUUUAUCUGCUAGGUAUAUUGGACUUACUUUUCACAGAUAGUUUAUACUAACAAAAUUUCUAACCAAAAUAUUUCUUGAAAAUUACUGAUUUUAUUUGAAAUUAUGUGCAGGAAAAAUACAAGCAUAUCUCUGAAUUUCUAUUUGUCUGUUAAACAAAAGGGGAUAAAUAUGACUAAUGUCAUUUAACAAGAGGAAUUACAGACUAUGAAAAGAGUAGCUUAUUUAUAUCAACUCACAAUACUUUCCAGAGAGAGAAAGAAAAAGGCUAUUAUGUGGCCUGAACAAGAAGUUGGCCAUCCUUUUCCCUUUCUUUGUGGAAGAUGGUCCUGAUAGGAUAGAGACUUAAAGAAGGGAUUGAUUUGUUUUCUCCAGCUGUCCUAAUAGUGAGUGAAUAAAAUUAACUGUGAACUAUUUCAAUCAAUAACUCAAUGAUUGACUUACAUUGAUUAGAAAAGAGCUGAUUCUUUGCCAUGGAUAUCUAGAUACCUUGAUGAUCCUAUUUUGAACCAAUUUAAAAGUAGGACAAUACCCACUGGAUGGAAGUUUCAAAACCUGAAAACAAUAAAACCCACAAGAUUUUAUUUCUUUUAAUAACUUCUGUGACAAUGAAAUUGAAGUCUUACACACUUUUUUUUUUUUUUACUCCAGUGUCUUGUUAUCUGGAGCAAAAUUCAGAAAGGAGAGCAACUAUGUAAAAAAGUAAGAAUUUUGGCUUGCUAUGCCAUUCUUAGAGGUUUCUUUUAUCUUUAUAUUUUCUUGAAAUGUCUUGUGUAAAAUUUAAACAACUUCCUGUACUAUAAAUAAGAUAUUUUGAAGGCAAGCAUAUGCAUAGAUAAUACUUUAGAAAAGAAUUGUGAUUCCAAUUCUGUACUUAGCACUUAAUAUUAAAAGUUUCUUAUAGUGAAUAUAAUUUUCUACAACAGAUAGUACAAUUUUGUUUCACCAUUAACAGGUAAAUAAGUAAAUAUACAUUUAAAUAAAUAUUAUAAAGUUCAUUUGUUAAUUAAUACAAACAUUAUAAAUUAUUGAAUACUUUUUCCAAUGGACAAGCAGCUUUAAAAACCUGCUUUCACCACUUUAUUUAUUUAUUUUUUUUUGAGACAGAGUCUCGCUCUGUCGCCUAGGCUAGAGUGAUCUCGGCUCACUGCCAGCUCUGCCUCCCGGGUGCACGCCAUUCUCCUGCCUCAGCCUCCCAAGUAGCUGGGACUACAGGCACCCGCCACCACACCCGGCUAAUUUUUUGUAUUUUUUUAGUAGAGACAGGAUUUCACCGUGUUAGCCAGGAUGGUCUUGAUCUCCUGACCUCGUGAUCUGCCCACCUCAGCCUCCCAAAGUGCUGGGAUUACAGGCAUGAGCCACCGUGCCCGGCCUUUUUUUGGUAUUUUUAGUAGACAUGGGGUUUCACCCUGUUAGCCAGGAUGGUCUCGAUCUCCUGACCUCGUUAUCCACCCGCCGCGGCCUCCCAAAGUGCUGGGAUUACAGGCAUGAGCCACCGUGCCAGGCCACUUUCACCACUCUUAAUCCUCUGAGGUGAAGAGGUCUUUUAAACUAUAGUUUGUAUAACUGAAAAUCAAAAGAAAAAAGUUUUAAUGAAGUUUUUGUAAUUAGUAAGAAACAUAAGGGAAUACCAAAAGCAAACUUUUUUGAAUGCUUACUUUUGGGGAAGCAUUGAAUUUUAUAUCUGGUAUAUGAUAAUUCAUAUCUUAGGAUAUGCUCCCCUUUCUAUAAGUAGGAAUUAGGAAACACGGAGAGGUGAAUUUUUUGCUCAUGAAUGAAUUUACCCAUUAGGCAUUUUUGAGAGGUAUCAGUAGUCAGCAGUUAUCACUUUCUUCUACUCUUCAUAUUGCUAGAGACAUAGUGACUCCAUGUCUUAUAGAAUGUUCAUUUUCUCUUUCACUUAUCCCAUAUCAUGUGCCAGCUAUUGAUCCAAUCAAUUUUAACAAUGAAAGUUCUAAACCAGGAACCAUUUACACUGGAUCUUACAUUUGCCCUGGGUAAGAUGGCAGUUGAUGGCAGUGUCCACGUGCAUCAGGAAGAAGUCUUCAUUAGCUUCAUGAUUUAAGUCCUUAAAUGUAAUUUUAUCACAGAAAACAUAACCUAUAUUCAAGCCUUAACCUUAACUUAGUCCUCAUAUUCAUUGUUACCCUUACCAAGUUUUUCUUAAUUGUAUGCCUAGCAUGCAAAUGAUACGGACAGGAGACAGGGAAAUACAGGGUAGAAAAGGGCAGUUCCCCAGCAAAGGCCCCACCCUCAAGCCUGAAAAACCAUGGCCCUAAAUGAGGACAGGCAUUCCUGUUGUCACACCCAAAAAGUUGCCUUUUGGCCUGCCAUGCCCCAUAUCCUGUACCCAUAUAAAUCCCGAACCCCACGCUCCAGAAGCAGAUGAGCAGGUGAGGAAAUGAGGAGUCAAACAGAUGGAUAGUAGAACGACACAGCAAAGAAAGAAGAGGAAUGUCUGAAUACCAAGAGGAGUUCAGCUGGGGGCAGUUAGGGAGAGGUUUGGAGACUGGCCAGUUUCCAGGGGAAGAUCACCUUCCUAUUCUAUCCCCUCCUUCUGCCUCCUCAUCCAGCGCACUGAGAGCCACCUCCACCACUCAAUAAAAACCUUGCAUUCAUCCUUUAAGCCCGUGUGUGACCUGAUUCUUCCAGGACGGUGGGUAAGAGCUCAGGAUACUGAAAGCUGUCACACUGGCUCUCUGCGCUUGCGAAAAGGCAGAGGGUCCAUUGAGCUGGUUAACACUUAAAAUCAUCUGCAGACAGCAAGGCUAAGAGAGCAUCAGUUAACACUGUGGCUGCAGGCACCCACCCCAAGACACUGCCGUGUGACCAGAGAACACAGUGCUUGCUCCAGCCUCUGCACCCACCUGUCUGCAUGAUCCCUCUCCCUCAAGGGUUUUGAGCAGCAGUGGUGACCAAAUAGCCAAGCCACUCCCCUGUUGCAAGUCCUGAGAGGGGGAUCAGGGAACUCUCCCAUUUCACUUAGGCAGGGAAGGGGUAAGACUAUGGGAUGGACUAAGAAUGUAGAUUUUACAUAUCACUUGGUAAUUUGUUACAAAUUAUUUGGUAAUUUUUUUUUCUUUUUGAGACAGAGUCUUGCUCUGUUGCCCAGAGCCGGAGUGAAUGGCCAGUCUUGGCUCACUGCAACCUCCACCUCCUGGGUUCAAGCAGUUCUCCUGCCUCAGCCUCCCGAGUAGCUGGGAUUACAGGUGUGCGCCACCAAGCCCUGGCUAAUUUUUGUAUUUUUAGUAGAGAUGGGGUUUCACCAUGUUGGCCAGGCUGGUCUAGAACUCCUGACCUCAUAAUCCACCCACCUCAGCCUCCCAAAAUGCUGAGAUUACAGGCAUAAGCCACCGUGCCCAGCCUACUUGGUAAUUUUUAAAAGCUACAGGUUUAAUAGUUAAUUUCUCAAGCAAAUAAAAGAUGUUCCCAACUCCAAACUGCUUUAUUAAAUAAUUUAACCUAAUUAAAUAGAAUCCUGAUCAUGGACCAUAUAGUUUAUUAUCCAAACUGGAGCCACAGGCAGUAGACAGGAUUGAACCAGACAAUCCUGCAAGAUCACCCACCCUCCUUCAAAGAGAUAUUGUCUGUGAGUGGACAUUAUCCUCACAGCCUUAUACCUCUUUUUUCCAAUGGACAAUUGCAUAUGAAAUGACAGCAGAAAAAUUAAAAAACAGGGCAUCCCCAAGGGCAAAAUAAUGUAGGCCCAACUCAACACAUCAAAGAUGAAAAACUGCAGAAUAUAGCACUCCUCCAACCUGAGCUGUAAAAAGUUAUAUUCUUCAAAUAAUUUUCACUACCACUCUAUAUAACCAUGUUAAAUACAUUAGCACAACAUACUGAUGAAAAUAAAUGUCUUCCAAGAUUUGCACAUAAAUGCAAAGAGGAUCGUAAUCAUUACUUUUAAGAGAUUUGGGGUCAGUUGGUGUGUGUAUAGGGGAGUGUGUUUUAUUGUGAUAUAAUUCAAAAACCAUACAACUGAACAGUUUAAUAUAUUAGCAGAGUUCUGCAACCAUCACCACUAUCUAAUUAUAGAAGAAUUUCAACACCUCAAACACAAACUCCAUACCAUUUAACAAUCACUCUUAAUUCUUCAUUCUCCCCACUCCCAGGCAAACACAAAUCUACUUUCUGUCUCUGUGGUUUUGCCUGUUCCGGACAUUUCAUAUAAAUGAAAUCAUACAAUGCCUUUUCUGGCUGAAUUCUUUUUACAAUAUAAUAAUUUCAAGGUUCAUUCAUGUUGUAACACGUAUCAGUACAUCAUUCCUUUUUAUUUCUGAAUGAUAUUGAAUUAUAUGGACAUACUACAUUUUGUUAUCCACUCAUCAGUUGCUGGACAUCUGUAUUAUUUCCAUUUCUGAGGUAUUAUGUGUAACACUGCUAUGGACAUUUAUGUGGAAUUUUUUGUGGACAUAUGUUUUCACUUCUCUUGGAUAUAUACCCAGGAGUGUAAAUUGCUGGUCAUAUUGUCUCUGUUUUAUAAUACAUUUUGAGGAACUGCCAAACUGCUUUCCAAUGUGACUUCACCACUUUAAAAUCCCACAGCAAUAUAUGAUAAUUACAAUUUCUCCAUAUCCUCACCAACAUUUGUUAUCAUCUGUUUUUUUUAUCUGAGCCGUCCUAGUGAGUAUAAAGUGGUAUCUCAUUAUAGUUUUGAUUAGCAUUUCCCUUCUGGCUAAUGAUGCUGAGUAUCUUUUCAUGUGUUUCUUAGCCAUUUGCAUAUUUUUCCUUGAAAACAGUCUAUUAAGAUAUUUUUCCUUAUUUUUGAAUGGGUUAUUUGUUUUUUCACUACUGAAUUGUAAGAGUAGUUUCUUUAUGCUAAAUACAAGAGCUGUAUCAGUUAUAUGUUUUGCAAUUGUUUUCCCUUUUACUGGAUUGUUAUAAUAAAGAGUCUGACUCCAUUAUUGAUGUGUGACUCUUGGCAGCUUUUAAAACCCCAUCCUAAUGUCUUCCCCUUCUGUCCCGCACUGGACCAUGAUGAUAAGAAAGUCUGGGUUUUCCCACCUUUGGCACUGAAGGGAAGUUCAAACCACACAGGGGGACCCUCAGCCCAGCCUCAUCUUAUAACCCCCAUAAAACCCCCA